UACGUAGGGUGCGAGCGUUAAUCGGAAUUACUGGGCGUAAAGUGUGCGCAGGCGGCCGCGCAAGUCGAGUGUGAAAUCCCCGAGCUUAACUUGGGAAUUGCGCUCGAAACUACGUGGCUGGAGUGUGGCAGAGGAAGGUGGAAUUCCUGGUGUAGCGGUGAAAUGCGCAGAUAUCAGGAAGAACACCCGUGGCGAAGGCGGCUCUCUGGAACGCAACUGACGCUGAGACGCGAAAGCGUGGGGAGCAAACAGG
rnacentral:rRNA from 1 species